UGUUGCCCAGGCUGGAGUGCAAUGGUGCCAUCUCGGCUCACUGCAACCUCUACCUCCUAGGUUCCAGCGAUUCUCCUGCCUCAGCCUCCCGGGUAGCUGGGACUAUAGGCGCGUGCCACUAUGCCCGGCUAAUUUUGUAUUUUUAGUAGCGACGGCGUUUCACCAUGUUGGCCAGGCUGGUCUCAAACUCCUGACCUUAGGUGAUCCACCCACCUCUGCCUCCCAAAGUGCUGGGAUUACAGGUGUAAGCCACCACGCC
rnacentral:lncRNA from 1 species